ACCUCCCCCACUGCAACUUGAGACCAUUGCUCCUUGUUCUGUCAUCUGGUACCACGGAGAACAUGCCCUGACUGGAAGGAGGAUGGACAGGUCUCAAGGGAGAAUGCAAUCAAAGACUCAGAUUGCAGGUGAAUCUUGACCCAGGGUUCAUGUGACUUACGUCUCCACACACCCAUUUUUGCGUGAGAGCCCAAAUGAGUCUGAUACUCACCCCCGGCUCUUGUGAGCAGAUGCCCAGUUAUCGCGGCAUCGGAAGCAGAUUGUGAGAUUGGCUUGAGGGGAAAGGACAAGAACUGAAACAGAGUGAUAAGGAGGAGCCCUGAGAUAACACUCAGGAUGUAUUUGCAGAGAUAGGGACUCAGCAUCACCGAGUGAUGAGGACGAAAAUGCUGCUCCCACCCAGGCCGAUGCAACAGGAGAUGCUGACAGCUGCUUGUGACCGUUACCCGUCACUGCAUGUGUCAAGUCCAUAUGACUCGCCGUUGGGCCGGUGGAUUUAUUGCUUCUCAGAAGAGCAGCGUUUCUCCAUCACAUGAAGCCAAACGUGAGCUGUGCUGCCAAUCGAAGUGGUGUGGGUCGCUGUGCGAAUCCAGCUCAGAAGGGAGCAUCCAGUCUGAUCUCCAGCACAACCCAGGCCGUAGGACUUCCCUGAAUUAACUAGUGUUUCAAGUGCAACAGCUGGGUGUGGGGAUGAACUAGGGCAGAUCGUUCAGAAAAACAUCCAACCAUGAUUUUAAAAUGUCCAGUGAUGGAGAAUCCAUCACAGCCCUUGAACCACCUUCAGUUCAUCCGUCUUGAAUUCUGGACACUGGAACUGGACAUAGUAUUCCAGCAGCAAUCACACCAGUGCCAAAUACUAAGGUACAAGUGCCAGUUACCCUGCACGAGCAGCCCUCACUGCUACCUCUGCCCAGCGCAGGAUCCAGGCUAGACAACAGAGCCUCCGGCCCCUUCCUGACAGAAUCCCAGGCUGUCAGACAGAGGUGCCAGCUCUGACCUCUACUCCAUUGGCUGGACG